UUCUCUCUCUCAUUAUUUUUAAUGACACAGAUAUCUGAAUUGCACUCAACGGUCAUUAUACAGGGUAUGGGAAUUAACACAUAACAUAGGUAGAAAAUUAAUAUGUAAUCUUAUCACCCUCAGGUUAAAACAAUAGAAGUCAAAUAAGUACUUGAAAUGACAUUAAAACAAAGCAAACAGGACACAUAACGACAGUACAGGAUAAUAGCUUCAACACCUUAAAAGAUUUUAUAAGAUUGUGCUAUUUUUUUUUUUUACCUCUAAAGAAUUAUAUAGAAGAGUAAUGCGCUGAAUAAACCAGGUUCACUAUAAAAUUGUUUCUUUGAAAACUUGCAUAAAAAGUAAAGGCAGAAGGGCACAAAGUUAGAAAAGCAGUGUUUAAGGCAAACUAAAUAAGAAGUAUCC
rnacentral:lncRNA from 1 species